rnacentral:rRNA from 1 species
AUAAUGGGUCAGCGACUUAUAUUCUGUAGCAAGGUUAACCGAAUAGGGGAGCCGAAGGGAAACCGAGUCUUAACUGGGCGUUAAGUUGCAGGGUAUAGACCCGAAACCCGGUGAUCUAGCCAUGGGCAGGUUGAAGGUUGGGUAACACUAACUGGAGGACCGAACCGACUAAUGUUGAAAAAUUAGCGGAUGACUUGUGGCUGGGGGUGAAAGGCCAAUCAAACCGGGAGAUAGCUGGUUCUCCCCGAAAGCUAUUUAGGUAGCGCCUCGUGAAUUCAUCUCCGGGGGUAGAGCACUGUUUCGGCAAGGGGGUCAUCCCGACUUACCAACCCGAUGCAAACUGCGAAUACCGGAGAAUGUUAUCACGGGAGACACACGGCGGGUGCUAACGUCCGUCGUGAAGAGGGAAACAACCCAGACCGCCAGCUAAGGUCCCAAAGUCAUGGUUAAGUGGGAAACGAUGUGGGAAGGCCCAGACAGCCAGGAUGUUGGCUUAGAAGCAGCCAUCAUUUAAAGAAAGCGUAAUAGCUCACUGGUCGAGUCGGCCUGCGCGGAAGAUGUAACGGGGCUAAACCAUGCACCGAAGCUGCGGCAGCGACGCUGAUGCGUUGUUGGGUAGGGGAGCGUUCUGUAAGCCUGCGAAGGUGUGCUGUGAGGCAUGCUGGAGGUAUCAGAAGUGCGAAUGCUGACAUAAGUAACGAUAAAGCGGGUGAAAAGCCCGCUCGCCGGAAGACCAAGGGUUCCUGUCCAACGUUAAUCGGGGCAGGGUGAGUCGACCCCUAAGGCGAGGCCGAAAGGCGUAGUCGAUGGGAAACAGGUUAAUAUUCCUGUACUUGGUGUUACUGCGAAGGGGGGACGGAGAAGGCUAUGUUGGCCGGGCGACGGUUGUCCCGGUUUAAGCGUGUAGGCUGGUUUUCCAGGCAAAUCCGGAAAAUCAAGGCUGAGGCGUGAUGACGAGGCACUGCGGUGCUGAAGCAACAAAUGCCCUGCUUCCAGGAAAAGCCUCUAAGCAUCAGGUAACAUCAAAUCGUACCCCAAACCGACACAGGUGGUCAGGUAGAGAAUACCAAGGCGCUUGAGAGAACUCGGGUGAAGGAACUAGGCAAAAUGGUGCCGUAACUUCGGGAGAAGGCACGCUGAUAUGUAGGUGAAGUCCUUCGCGGAUGGAGCUGAAAUCAGUCGAAGAUACCAGCUGGCUGCAACUGUUUAUUAAAAACACAGCACUGUGCAAACACGAAAGUGGACGUAUACGGUGUGACGCCUGCCCGGUGCCGGAAGGUUAAUUGAUGGGGU